UAUCAAGGAACUGAUUGAGGAUCCAAUGCUUUCUUUUGCACAGAAGUGGAGUAGGAAGUCGAAGAGAACCAGCUACUCACAAGAGCAAAUUGAUGAGGUGCGGAUUGAAUGGAGUGAGUUUGUUACAAGGAAAUACUUGUAGAUGUUUAUGAUGAAGCGUGAUAUUUGUAGUGCUGCUUUUUAUGGAACAAGUAGUCUUUGUUGAUCGUAUGUUAAGUUGGACAGAAUUAUUUAAGUUUCAUUGUUUAAUAUGUAGUAGUACUUAAGUAGUUUACUUAUUGUAGAAUAUGAUAUUUUAACUUUUGGUUUAUGAAAGAUAUAUUGCUUAAUAAUUUUUUGGUAUUUUGA